GGUGGGGCCUUUGUAUCUCACUCCCGCCACAGCUUGGGAUCGGUCUCUGCUGUUUUACGUCCUCCACCUCGGGAGCCCCCGGUGACUGUCACAGCCUCUUGCCCUGUGAUCUGCAGGUUCUGGGAGACGCACAGCUAAGAUGCCAGGACAUCCUGGAAGCUGGGAAAAGAUGGAGUUUCACUCUUGUUGCCCAGGCUGGAGUGCAUUAUCCCAAUCUCGGCUUACUACAACCUCCGCCUCCCAGGUUCUGACAACAAAGGAGAUUGUGACAUAUUGCUGGGCCUAACACUAAGGUGAUGUUAGUUAUUUGCUUUGGCUGUGCCCUUGGAAGGCAUUGAGACAUACUGCUGUGCCCAGCACCAAGAUGAUGUAACGUGACUCUUCUGCUUCAGGCCUGCCAAAAGAAAAGAUUGUGACAGAUCACUGGACCCAGCACCUAGGUAGGAUUGUGACAUAUAUCUGGCCAAGCGUACAGAUGUAAUGAUGACUGUCAUACCUUGAAGAAGCCAAUAGCAGAGAGAAUGUUGCUCUCAGGCUUAGGAAAAUGAGGAAGUCU
rnacentral:lncRNA from 1 species